UUCUCAUGGCCUUUUUGGCUGCGAUCAAAUGUAAGUAUCUGUUCUAUCGAUUGAAUAUCUCGAUACGUCCGCCCAUCGGGGGACUACAUAUUAUGAGAGUUUUUUCGAACAGGGGAGUCGGAAAUGGGGCUUGCCUCGCGUCCGCUCCACGCAUCGACCCGGUAAUUCGCAGUAGCCAUCCGGGACGGUGCAAGCACG